rnacentral:miRNA from 1 species
GGUUGGUGCAAAAGUAACUGCAGUUUUUGCCAUUGCUUUCAAUGGCAAAACCCACAAUUACUUUUGCAUCAA